rnacentral:tRNA from 1 species
CAAAGAGUAGUUUAAGUUUAAAAUUCUGGUUUUGGAGACCAGGGAUGAAGAUAUUUCUCUUUGA